AUUGAACGCUGGCGGCAGGCCUAACACAUGCAAGUCGAACGGUAACAGGAAGAAGCUUGCUUCUUUGCUGACGAGUGGCGGACGGGUGAGUAAUGUCUGGGCAACUGCCUGAUGGAGGGGGAUAACUACUGGAAACGGUAGCUAAUACCGCAUAACGUCGCAAGACCAAACAGGGGGACCUUCGGGCCCCUUGCCAUCGGAUGUGCCCAGAUGGGAUUAGCUAGUUGGUGGGGUAACGGCUCACCAAGGCGACGAUCCCUAGCUGGUCUGAGAGGAUGACCAGCCACACUGGAACUGAGACACGGUCCAGACUCCUACGGGAGGCAGCAGUGGGGAAUAUUGCACAAUGGGCGCAAGCCUGAUGCAGCCAUGCCGCGUGUAUGAAGAAGGCCUUCGGGUUGUAAAGUACUUUCAGCGGGGAGGAAGGGAGUAAAGUUAAUACCUUUGCUCAUUGACGUUACCCGCAGAAGAAGCACCGGCUAACUCCGUGCCAGCAGCCGCCGCAG
rnacentral:rRNA from 1 species